rnacentral:antisense_RNA from 1 species
AGUAUUUCCCUCCGGAGUGUAGCGCCUGUGAAAUGCUCCAAGAUGAUCUCGGAUGCAAAUUCAGCCAUGCAAGAGUGAUGAAAUGCUUGCAUUAUUUCCAAAGAUGAAUUAAGACAAUGAGGCAGCUCUUCAUUUGUCAAAAGGACUUGCAAUCAAAACCUGAAGAGGUUUUCUCUGACAUUGACUUCAGCAGUUCUUCACCCUAGGAGGUCUACAGAGGGGCUUCAGGAAACCAGAAACCACAUGCACAAAGAAGUAUUUUUCUGAGAAUUGAGCUUAUCAGUUUCUGGGUUGUUUUUUUUUUCCAGAUUUUCAAAGGAUUCUGUGAGGCCCCCAAAACUUGAGAACCUCUUGGAUUCAUCUCUCCACUCUGGUUUCUACCCCCAGAAUCUAUCAAGUGGCCUCACUCCUGGAUUACCUCCAGCACAAGAGAAAGUGCAUAUUCUGUCUGCUCUACUGGGCCAGGGGAGUAGGGAAAGA